GUAAUGCCUCGAACCCUAUCCCGGCAUCAGAUAUGGGUAAGGAGUGUUAUAAAUGGCAUGCCUUGUUAAAUGAUGAAUUUACCUAUUUUAAAUGCUUGGAAUGGUUGGUAUUGGUUGUGUGUUUCAAGUGCAAGUCUUGGGUGAAAUUUUGGGUAAGAAAUGAAGCUAGAAAUGGCUUCAUUUUGUCCAUAUGGGCAGGCACACGGGCGUGUAUCUAUACCAUGUGUGACACAUGGCCUGGUAACAUAGGCAUGUGGUUAGGCUGUGUGUCCCC
rnacentral:lncRNA from 1 species